CCACAAAUAGACUUUUCUUUUACUAUUUUUCUUUAUGGUUAUUAUGAAUGUAGCUGCAGCACUCGCUGUUCGGGGGAGAAAAAGAAAGCUGAGCAAUAACUGACAUUGCCACCUGGCUGCAGCAGAUACACAAUUCCCUGGAAAAUUGAGAGGAAGAGGAGGCGACAGGACAGAUGAGUAAGAGGUUAGGCACAAGAUAUCUACCUCCAAUAGGAGCAUCAAAGUCUGGAGGCCUGAAGGAAAGACAAGCUGUGGAAUGGCAUGCAAGUUUUGGAUAAUUUAAGAUUUUUUUCCUCCAGCUCCAUGUGCCUGCUGCCGACUCUAUGAGGCUUGUCACAGAGCAGAGAUACGCCGCAAGUGGGAGAGGGGAUCUCAGAACGGCACCGAACUUAUCAAAGCAGCAUGCUUCGUCCCCGAGCUCCCAACACAAUGCCCUGCUUCACUUUUCUCAAUCCUCCUCUUCUUUUUUUUUUUUUUUUUUUCUUGAAUGGAAGAAAAAAAAUUACCCCAGGACUCCAGUCCUGGGGUAAUCUCACUUUUGCUUAUUUGCACACAAGUUAGCAGAGUAACCGGGCCACCGUCCCCUCCCACCCCUCCUGUUUCUUGCAUCCCCAGCCAAUUGCAUAAUCAAGGCCAGAACUCAUCAGCGAGAUGGCAGGAGAAGAAGCUCUAUUAAGCCGCAUCGUGUUCCAUCUGCUGUGUAAGAGAGCGAUAACGGUAUUUACAGUUUUUUGGCCAAAUUUCUGACUUCUGCUUACUUUAGGAAAUGUCAUGGAUUAAUUUCGACGCCGCGUCCAACUGAAGUGUUUGCCCUGAACAUCCCCCCCCUUCCCAAACCUCCAGUGGGAACAACAACUUUAUUGGAAGGGAAACGUGAAGAACAUGUGUCACGGAUAACAUUUUAAAUUUAAAAAGGCAAUGACUUCUCUCCUUUUCUUUUCUUCACUUGUUCUGGAUCAGACUUGCUCCCUGGUAUUUGAUCUUUUUUUUUCUUGUUCUGGAGGCUUGUCAGCAGUUGUUGGAUACUGUUUUUUCAACACCGUUUCUGUCAGAGGAUAAUUUGAGCUUUUAGCAAAAACAUACAUAUUAAAACCCAGAUUUGAAUAACAAAUACCGAUGUGAUUUGAUGUAGUUUUCUGGGUGAAAUCAAUCUACUUUUACUCUAAAUUAAUCAGCUACUGAAAGAUGCAUUACCCAUAGUUUGUCAUUUGGAACAAGACUCCCAUCUGCAACUUAUACACACACAGUCAUUAGAGGCGUUAUUGCAGCAUGCACCCAAACAGAGAAGAGAGACAUUCCUUUGAAAUCUAGAGCAGCUUCAUGUAAUGCUUUUCAGAUUUUUUUCAAUUCAUCUGUAUUUCUAUACACUUUUAUAUGUAUUCCUGGCUGAUUAUCUUUUUCAUUAUCAUGGAAAAAAUGUUCAUUAUAAGAAUGAGUCAUCCUGUGAGCAAUUUUUCCUCUGUUGGUUCCAGUAAAUGCAGAGUUCACACACCUAUCAAGUAUUUGACUUUCUCCUCAGUUUAUUAUGAGUUCUAUAGGAGUUUAAUAAUGAUCUGUUCAUGUCGUCCUGUCGUCCUCCAAGCAGAGAAACAUGUAAAACACAGGACACCAGCACUCUCCUGCUCCAGUUCUGCAACUACUCUAUGUAACUGUUGUAGUGAAGCAGCAUAUGUCCUAAUGGGCACAUGUUAUUUUAGAAAAAGUAAUUGUUUUCAUAGGACUUUGACUGUGUACAGCAACAAACGCCAAAAAAUAUGAUAAACAAUAGAUUGUACAGUUAAUUUCUAAUGAAAUGUCCCCGUUUCAAAACCUAAUUAUAGUGCAAUACAGCUGGUUGAUGCAAACCUUUGUAAGAUGUGAAAAGUUCUCUAUAAACUACAUUUUUCUCUGAUUUAUGUGUUAAAUAAAACUUUUCACUGAUGUUUAAUAGACAUUCUGAUUGUUUGUUGCUUAUUUGAAUGGGAACACUUGUUUAGUAUAAUACCAAGCACUAUAACAUUUACAGCCUUA